AUUGAACGCUGGCGGCAGGCCUAACACAUGCAAGUCGAACGGUAACAGGAAACAGCUUGCUGUUUCGCUGACGAGUGGCGGACGGGUGAGUAAUGUCUGGGAAACUGCCUGAUGGAGGGGGAUAACUACUGGAAACGGUAGCUAAUACCGCAUAACGUCGCAAGACCAAAGAGGGGGACCCUCGGGCCUCUUGCCAUCGGAUGUGCCCAGAUGGGAUUAGCUUGUUGGUGGGGUAACGGCUCACCAAGGCGACGAUCCCUAGCUGGUCUGAGAGGAUGACCAGCCACACUGGAACUGAGACACGGUCCAGACUCCUACGGGAGGCAGCAGUGGGGAAUAUUGCACAAUGGGCGCAAGCCUGAUGCAGCCAUGCCGCGUAUGAAGAAGGCCUUCGGGUUGUAAAGUACUUUCAGCGGGGAGGAAGGGAGUAAAGUUAAUACCUUUGCUCAUUGACGUUACCCGCAGAAGAAGCACCGGCUAACUCCGUG
rnacentral:rRNA from 1 species